rnacentral:sRNA from 1 species
ACCCUACAAGGCAGGAGGGGUUUCAUUCAUGUGAGAUGAGAAAGUCAAGGGGGCAUUGUUGCCUGAUUUCUUAGCUGUCUUUCUCAUUCUCAGGGACAUUGACAAGGUAGAUGAACUGAUGACUGACAUCACGGAACAACAGGAGUUGGCCCAGCAGAUCUCAGAUGCCAUUUCUCGGCCUAUGGGCUUUGGAGAUGAUGUGGAUGAGGAUGAACUGCUGGAGGAGCUAGAGGAGCUGGAGCAGGAGGAAUUGGCCCAGGAGUUGUUA